GAUGAACGCUGGCGGCGUGCCUAAUACAUGCGAGUCGAGCGAACAGACGAGGAGCUUGCUCCUCUGACGUUAGCGGCGGACGGGUGAGGAACACGUGGAUAACCUACCUAUAAGACUGGGAUAACUUCGGGAAACCGGAGCUAAUACCGGAUAAUAUAUUGAACCGCAUGGUUCAAUAGUGAAAGACGGUUUUGCUGUCACUUAUAGAUGGAUCCGCGCCGCAUUAGCUAGUUGGUAAGGUAACGGCUUACCAAGGCAACGAUGCGUAGCCGACCUGAGAGGGUGAUCAGCCACACUGGAACUGAGACACGGUCCAGACUCCUACGGGAGGCAGCAGUAGGGAAUCUUCCGCAAUGGGCGAAAGCCUGACGGAGCCACGCCGCGUGAGUGAUGAAGGUCUUCGGAUCGUAAAACUCUGUUAUUAGGGAAGAACAAAUGUGUAAGUAACUAUGCACGUCUUGACGGUACCUAAUCAGAAAGCCACGGCUAACUACGUG
rnacentral:rRNA from 1 species